UGUUCCCCUCCCGGCAUGGCGGGCGGGUUUCUGCUGGAGAUCAGGCGGGGGACGCAGAGCGCGUUGCUGGUUAUCCGCGAGGCGGGCCUUCCGAGCUCAGCGGUGGACGUUUCUGUGGCCGCGGACUGUCUGGAAGUGAGACGCGGCGAGAGCCGCGAGGCGGCGGCGCUGCCGGCAGAGGUCAGGCUGGUCCCGGCCUCCUGCCGCGGCCUGCUCCGCCUCCCCGGCGAGGGCCUGCACCUGCGCAUGCGCCUGCGCCGCCCGCCGCCGAGCGCCGAUUUGAUUUUUACUUUGAGGGAAAGCCUGAAACCCCAGAAGAAUUAUGUCUUUUCCUGUCAGUCCUGUGGUGAUGUCAUAGUAAAAGACCGGAAAUUUCUCAGAGUUCUUCCUCUACCAAGUGAAAACUGGAGUGCUUUAGUUGAAGAAUGGUGUUGUCACCCUGACCCCUUUGCCAGAAGCACUUUAUACCCUCAGCAUGACGACUGUUUUCUUGGAGACACUUUUUUUCUGUUGAAUUCAGGAAAUGAAUCACAUGUGCCUGAAUCUCCCAUGUGCUGCUCAGAGACUGGACACCAUGCUUCCCAGACUGGCCCCAACAUGAAAUCAAAGGAAAAUACCAGAGUAAUUUGUAAGCGCUGCAAGACAAUGCUGGGAGAAACAGUAUCAUCAGAUACCAUUAAAUAUUAUGUCACCGAGGUGACUAUUCGACCAUCUGAGAGAAGUUUCAGCCCAACACCAAGGUCUCAAUUCGUACAGAGCAUGGUUGCUCAGAUUCUUGUGGAAUUGUCCUCUGCUAAAAGCACGUUUAGAUUCACUGUAACAGGGGAUAAUGGAAAAAUCUAUAUUCUGAUGUGGCUUUUAAAUUCUGACACAUUGCUGGUGGAGUCUUUAGGAAGUUCCUCCUCCCACAGUGUUUUUACACUGUUUGGGGAUAUUUUCAUGCCUAGCUCUGGACCAGUGGGGACCUGGAGUGCUGUCAAAGUCCUUUACCAGCCAUGCAUUAAAAGCAGGAAUAAGGACAUUGCUGAUGCAUGGGAAAAUGACAUCGGAGUUCAUCCUUUAAAGUUUCCAUCAGAAACAUGUAUGGAAUUACUGCUGAUACUGGGUUUGAGUACCGCCUCUCUGCCACCUUCACUUCGAUACUUGAACUCUUUUCAGGUUGCCUUUUUGAAGAUGUGAAGAAUGCAAAUACCUGUGUUGAAAACUAUUCUCAAAUUCAUUUUCAGCAGAAAUGUACAGAUAACUUCCAGCGGUGUGACUUCUAGAAAAAAAUCCAUGGCAAUACAAAACAAAAUGGGAGUGUGGUGUGUUAUUCUUCAUAUCUGAAUGCGUUUCAAAACCAAGGACAGAGUUAACUUUUGCAUCCAGUACAUUCUUAGAUGUAAUUCUAAGAGUGACUUACCGGGAUGACUGUUCUGAUCUCUUCAUUGCCAAAAAGAAAUUAUCUGUGUAUCUGAGUAUUACCUUUAUCAGACAGUGUUUGAUAGUGACCUAUAUGUCCUUAGGAAAAUUCACAGCUGGUAGCAAAGAGAGGUUUUAAAAUAUUUAACAUCAUAAAUACUAACAUAAGUUCUUUACUUUUUUGUUCUGGUAAAGUUAGAGGUCCAACUUUAAAACAUAAAAUCUGUUUUUUGUCAAACUUACAUGUUUAUUAUGUACAUUGUUUCCAUGUUAAGGUUUGCCUUCCUUCUUGAGAGAGAAGGAAGACAGUUUCUGUGUUCCUACACCUCAUGUAGAAUUUUUUUAAAUUGAUAAUGUUUUGGAGAAUCAAGGUUUUAUGGUUACUUUGAAUAAUAACUCCUUCAACUUCAAGAAAGAGCAUGUGUGUGAAGGCUGGCCUUGCAGAAACUUCUGGAGGUGAAAGAUACUUGAAGCAAGUCCAUACAGCUACUUUAAAUUAUCAUUCUCUGUUGUGGAUGCUCAGCAGCCUUCCAUGGGAGCAAUAGCGUAUUUCCGUGGGACACAGAAGCUGUUACGAUUUUCGGUUUUGGGAUGGAUUACUCGCUUAGUUCAUAGAAUCAUAGAAUGGUUUAGGUUGGAAGGGACCUCAGAGAUUAUCUAGUUCCAACCCCCCUGCCAUAGGCAGGGACACCCUCCACUAGACCAUAUUGCCCAAAGCCCCAUCCAACCUGGCCUUGAACACUUCCAGGGAGGGGGCAUCCACAACUUCUCUGGACAAACUGUUCCAGUGCCUCACCACCCUCACAGGGAAGAAUUUCUUCCUACUAUCUAAUCUAAAUUGACCCUCUUUUAGUUUAAAGCCAUUACCCCUUGUCCUGUCACUACAUGCCCUUGAUAAACAGUCCCUCACCAGCUUUCCUGUAGGUCCCCUUCAGGUACUGGAAAGCAGCAAUAAGGUCUCCCCAGAGCCUUCUCUUCUCCAGGCUGAACAAUCCCAACUCUCUUAGCCUGUCCUCAUAGGAGAGGUGCUCCAGCCCUCUGAUCAGCUUCGUGGCCCUCCUCUGGACUCGCUCCAACAGCUCCAUGUCUCUCCUGUACUGGGGCCCCCAGAGCUGGACGCAGUACUCCAGGUGGGGUCUCACGAGAGCAGAGUAGAGGGGCAGGAUCACCUCCCUCGACGUGCUGGUCACACUUCUUUUGAUGCAGCCCAGGACAUGGUUGGCUUUCUGGGCUGCAAGCACACACUGCCGGCUCAUGUUGAGCUUAGUUGAUAGCAAUUUUUGCCUUCCCUUGUCCAGGGGAACAGAAUGGUUUAAGUGCAUCAGCUAAGGAGCAGAAAAGAUGUCUCCGGGCAUUUUUGCCUCAAUUCAGGCUCAUGGGAAUGAUUUGAGCUAGAAGGAGGUGAUCCUUUAGUAUCAACCAUCUCUUUUGGACCCCUCAUUCCUCCAAGAUCUUAUCCCAUAUCUGCCUUGCUUAUCUGCAGUUUUCCUUAAACAACUGCUCUUGGCAAAUCAGUCAGGUACUGGAAUGGUUUAUCUGACCUACUAUGACAAUUGUAGUGUUCUCAAAAUGUACACAAAAAGAAAAAAAAAGAAAAAAAAAGAAAAAAAAAAAGAGAGCUUGUUUAUGUAGGCUGGCCUUUUCAAAGUCCAUCUUUAAACUCUUAAAAUAAAAAGAUGCUACCUUGUUGGAAAACAGCUAUAUUUUGAGGGAAUGGAUUCUGGAGGGAAUAUUCUUGUUAGAGGAGUUCAUUGAAAAUUCCUGUAUUUCAAAGAAAGUUAACAUGCCCUUUACUCAUGAAAUGAUCAUAAUGUAGGAAGUGACCCUGCAGUGUCUUGGACACCUUGUCUGGGUUUUACACAUCCAAAGACAAGUAGAUGAGGCCUCCCAGCACCCAGGCUGGAUAUCAUAUUUUUCUGCUAUUAUUCUAGUUUUCAGUAUUGAAGGAAGAACAAAAAUUAUCUGAGUUUUGUAUUCAGGGACUAAAUUAUCUAGCUCAAAGAUAUUUUGUCUAUGCAG